rnacentral:rRNA from 1 species
GCAAGCGUUGCUCGGAAUCAUUGGGCGUAAAGCGUACGCAGGCUGUUCGUUAAGUCGGGGGUGAAAGCCCGGGGCUCAACCCCGGAAAUGCGCCCGAAACUGGCGAGCUUGAGUGCGGGAGAGGGAAGCGGAAUUCCUGGUGUAGAGGUGAAAUUCGUAGAUAUCAGGAGGAACCCCGGUGGCGAAGGCGGGUCUCUGGGCCGAUACUGACGCUGAGGAGCGAAAGCGUGGGGAGCGAACAGG